rnacentral:rRNA from 1 species
GCCUAAAAAGCUAGCCCACCCCUCCUUUAACUCACUUUUAUAACCCACCCACACAACAACCAACAAAACAUUUUACCCCCUAAGUACGGGCGACAAAAAAGGAUAAACCUGAAGCAAUAGAGAAAGUACCGCAAGGGAAUGCUGAAAGAGAAAUGAAACAACUACCCCAAGCCGUAAAAAGCAGAGAUUACACCUCGUACCUUUUGCAUCAUGAUUUAGCAAGCACACCUGAGCAAAGAGAACUUUAGUUCAGCCCCCCGAAACUAGACGAGCUACUUCAGGACAGCCUACGGAUAAAAUUUUUAUCCCCGUAGGGCACACCCGUCUCUGUCGCAAAAGAGUGGGACGAUCCUCAAGUAGAGGUGAUAAACCUAUCGAGCCUAGUAAUAGCUGGUUGUCUAAAAAAUGAAUACAAGUUCAGCCUCCCGACUCCCCCCACCAACGACGCACGUCUCACUAGACCCAGGGCGACCGAGAGAGUUAGUCAAAAAGGGUACAGCCUCUUUGAAAAAGGACACAACCUCCCCGGGAGAAUAAAGAUCAAACCACCCCAAGGAAACUUAUUUUAGUGGGCCCAAAAGCAGCCACCUAAAAAGAAAGCGUUAUAGCUCCUAUAAAUUCCACCCCCAAAUACCGAAUGAAAUUCUCCACUCCCCGCCCCCUAUUAGACCCUCCUACAAACCGUAGAAGAGACCAUGCUAAAAUAAGUAAUAAGAGAAAAUGCCCCUCUCCCCACAUGUGUUUAAAUCGGAUCGGACCUUCCACCGAUAAUUAACGAACCUCUCAAGAGGGUAAUGUCACACCACAAAAAUAGCCAGAAAACCAAUCACCCCAACUCGUUAACGCAACACAGCUGUGUACCCCCGGAAAGACUAAAAUAGAGAGAAGGAACUCGGCAAACACAAGCCUCGCCUGUUUACCAAAAACACCGCCUCUUGCUAAAACGAACGAAUAAGAGGUCCCGCCUGCCCAGUGACACUAUGUUAAACGGCCGCGGUAUUUUGACCGUGCAAAGGUAGCGCAAUCACUUGUCUUUUAAAUGAAGACUAGUAUGAACGGCAUCACGAGGGCUUAGCUGUCUCCUCUUUAAAGUCAAUGAAAUUGAUCUCCCCGUGCAGAAGCGGGGAUACACUCGUAAGACGAGAAGACCCUAUGGAGCUUAAGACAUAAAGUUUAACCCAUGUAAAAUACCCCCUAAAGGAAGAAAACAUAUUGAACCUUACUGAUGUGUCUUCGGUUGGGGCGACCACGGGGAAAAGUAAAACCCCCAUAUGGACCAAGGCCACUACCCCUCAAAACUAGGCCCACAGGCCAAAUUAACAGUACUUCUGACCACAAAAGACCCGGCAUCUAGCCGGUUAAUGGACCCAGUUACCCUAGGGAUAACAGCGCAAUCCCCUCCCAGAGACCUCAUCGUCGAGGGGGUUUACGACCUCGAUGUUGGAUCAGGACAUCCUAAUGGUGCAGCCGCUAUUAAGGGUUCAUUUGUUCAAUGACUAAUAGUCCUACGUGAUCUGAGUUCAGACCGGAGAAAUCCAGGUCGGUUUCUAUCUACGCAUUGAUCUUUUUUAGUACGAAAGGACCAAAAAGAAGAAGCCUCUGCACACUACACGCUUCAUCCCCCACCGAUGAAUUCAAAUAAAACGGCAAGGGGACAUACUCCUUACACCCCAGACCAGUGUCA